GCAUGUAAUAUUUUCUAAUCGAGCUGCAACAUUUAUUCGAACAUGAGACGAAUUGAUGGAAAUUUCGGGCCCAGGGAUGUUGAAGAGGAUAAAAAGCGAAGCCGUGAUGCUGUUCUUGGUAGUUUCCUCAUAUUUGGAAUAAUGAUAGCUGCUAUCAGGAUAGUACCUUUCAUCCUGAAGAACGAUUAGAAAGUUUCAUUCAAUGAUGAAUAAUCUUAUCAACCUUAAAAGAUUGGAUAAUGUACUGAAGAGUGGCCCUACCAACUCAUUGUGAUAAAAAUUUUAUAUGAAUUUCAUUACUUGCUAGGAAAUAUUUAUCAUGAUGUUCUAUAAGUUUUGCGGAAUGCAAUAAAUUUUACUUAUAUUGCUGCAAUGUUUUCCUCUUUAGGAGCUGAGUGUUGAAUGUAUAGGAAUGUCUGAUAAUAAAAUAUCAAAAGGUA